AUUGAACGCUGGCGGCAGGCUUAAUACAUGCAAGUCGAACGGUAACAGCAGAAAAGCUUGCUUUUUUGGCUGACGAGUGGCGGACGGGUGAGUAAUACCUAGGAAACUGCCUAAACGAGGGGGAUAACAUUUGGAAACGAGUGCUAAUACCGCAUAAUACUGAGAAGUCAAAGGUUGGUUUACCAAUCGCGUUUAGAUGUGCCUAGGAGGGAUUAGCUAGUUGGUGGGUAAGGCCUACCAAGGCGAUGAUCUCUAGCUGGUCUGAGAGGAUGACCAGCCACACUGGAACUGAGACACGGUCCGG
rnacentral:rRNA from 1 species